UUGGAGGGCAAGUCUGGUGCCAGCAGCCGCGGUAAUUCCAGCUCCAAUAGCGUAUAUUAAAGUUGUUGCAGUUAAAAAGCUCGUAGUUGAAUUUCGGAAUCAGUACGUUGGUCGUGCCUUAGGUACGUACUGGUGUUACUGGUUUCUACCUUCUGACGAACCAUCAUGUCAUUCAUUUGGUGUGGGGGGGAAUCAGGACUGUUACUUUGAAAAAAUUAGAGUGUUUAAAGCAGGCUCGCGCUUGAAUACAUUAGCAUGGAAUAAUGAAAUAGGACGUUGAUCCUAUUUUGUUGGUUUCUAGGAUUGACGUAAUGAUUAAUAGGGAUAGUUGGGGGCAUUAGUAUUCAAUUGUCAGAGGUGAAAUUCUUGGAUUUAUUGAAGACUAACUACUGCGAAAGCAUUUGCCAAGGAUGUUUUCAUUAAUCAAGAACGAAAGUUAGGGGAUCGAAGACGAUCAGAUACCGUCGUAGUCUUAACCAUAAACUAUGCCGACUAGGGAUCGGAUGAUGUUAUUUUUAAUGACUCAUUCGGCGCCUUACGGGAAAC
rnacentral:rRNA from 1 species